rnacentral:rRNA from 1 species
AUUGAACGCUGGCGGCAGGCCUAACACAUGCAAGUCGAGCGGUUGAGGGGAGCUUGCUCUCUGAUUCAGCGGCGGACGGGUGAGUAAUGCCUAGGAAUCUGCCUAUUAGUGGGGGACAACGUUUCGAAAGGAACGCUAAUACCGCAUACGUCCUACGGGAGAAAGCAGGGGACCUUCGGGCCUUGCGCUAAUAGAUGAGCCUAGGUCGGAUUAGCUUGUUGGUGAGGUAAUGGCUCACCAAGGCGACGAUCCGUAACUGGUCUGAGAGGAUGAUCAGUCACACUGGAACUGAGACACGGUCCAGACUCCUACGGGAGGCAGCAGUGGGGAAUAUUGGACAAUGGGCGAAAGCCUGAUCCAGCCAUGCCGCGUGUGUGAAGAAGGUCUUCGGAUUGUAAAGCACUUUAAGUUGGGAGGAAGGGUUGUAGAUUAAUACUCUGCAAUUUUGACGUUACCGACAGAAUAAGCACCGGCUAACUCUGUGCCAGCCGCCGCGGUAAUAC